UUAAACCUAACUUUAGUUCGAUAUUAAGUGUGUCAUUCAUACUAAUUACUAAAGCUGAAGAACUACUGCAAAAUCUUUCUGAUGCUUUACACUUGUCGAUACCCAAUAAAAUUGGAGUUGGUCUUGCUUUGUCUCAUUCUGAAGAACACGAUAUCUUCACGAUACCAGGAUGUGUGUUUGCUGUACUUGCAUCUAAAAAAGAAAUCAUGGGCCUUGGAAGCUGGUGGAGCAAUCAAUGAGUGUCAGCAAUCAAUAAGGAUCAGUCAUUAAGCAUCAAUGUGUGACUCACCUUACGUGGGGUAUUGCUUUACGAGCUGUUUUAGAUGCUUUGAGGAAGCCUGCAGAUUCAGAAGUUUGUUCCUUCCUAGUUUAUCAGUUAAUGUUAUUAUUGUGAAUUUCAGUCUUACCUUGAAUUUAUGACAUUCUGAUGUUUUCCUUUGGGAGUAUGGCAUUCGAGCAGUUUGUGGACCAUCUCAUUGAGUGGCCACAGUAUGCCAUCAUAUCCUGCACUUAGUAGCAUUUAUAGAUGGGGCACUCAACAGUAUUUCCACGGCUUAUACUGAACCUGAUGUUGGCCAUACUGCCAAUACUGGUUGUGGAUAAUACUUCUACUCCAAGUGAUUUGUGUGAACUCAUGAUCACUGCAAUUUUGUCCUUCUGGUUUCAGAUUGCAGGCCCACCAUUUUCUCUGAUCGGACCCAGCAGCAAUUAUCUGGAUUAGCAAUUCCCUCUUCGAUCCCACUGCAACAUAGACCACCAAGUUCUCUCAGUUCACUCCUAAUUACAUGAAGCCAUCACAACACACCUACCCUUCCUAAGUCACUCAGUGGUGCUUUGCUGUCAAUACAAUCUGCCUCGUCGGAUUUCCGUGGGCUUCUAGAUCAACCUCAGCAAGCAAGUAAAUAAUCAGGUUUAACUGUGCUACUCUCUCUCACUGUGCGCUUUAUGGAUUACAUUAACAUGGGGACUGGUUUUACAACCAUGAGAAGAGAAACUCCCAUAGAGGUGAUUGGAUGUAGCUAUCUUAUCAUUUUUAAUUCUCUGUUUACACUUUGUCUUGAUCCUUUUGGUUUUCCCAUGCUUUUACUUCGAGGAUUUUCUUCCUUGUUAUGAGUUAGCAAUUAAAAGUUCUAUUAAUAGCACAUUUAACUUUAUCCCACUGGUUAACUAAAAUCUCACACUUCUAAAUUCUUUCUUAACUCCCGACUACUUUCUCGUUUUCCUUUUCCCCUUUAGUUUCUUUAUUAUUUGUUUUCUUCCCUGUGCAAUGGAGGCGUUCUGAUUCUGGUUCAGGCCAUCAUGAACUUAAAGUUAUCGUGCUCAGACAAUAUUUCCUCAUACAUGGCUGUUAUCUCCUGCCUAAAAUCUAAAGCUUUAUCUAUUUGUGAUUUUUUCUGUUGCAGCUUAUGCAACUCUGUGAAGCUGAAAGUGUAUCAUACCCGGAUGACGUGGCCAGCAACACAGCAACUCAGGAUAUGGCAAAGUCAGCUGGACUCGAGCCUCUCUCGGACUAUGUUCAGAAUCUGACCGUUAAGGAAAUCAACAAUUAAUCUGGAGUCGGUCUCUAUGGUGUAGAGAUCAACCUCAAAGACUCUUAACGAUGGGAGCCAACAUAGGUAUAGUAGCAGCAGCAUUUGCAUUGGGCUUCAGUCUCGGGACCUUUCACCGAAAAUUUCUCACGCAAUUAGAAGAAAAGAUCACCUUGCCAAGUCCAAAAAAAGAUAAAUAUUAGUAGUAAAUACAAACAAACAUGAUUUUUUCAAGUGUUUAGCGAUAGUUAUAUCUUCAAACUUGAACAAGAAACUCUCUAAAUAAUAAUUUUGUUGAACAAGAAACUGUUGCAUUGUUGUUCCUGAAUGUGACCAAAUCAGUUUUUUGCCACCCUCUUCACAUAGCUCAUG